rnacentral:rRNA from 1 species
GGAGCCGUAGCGAAAGCGAGUUUUAACUGAGCGUUCAGUUACUUGACGUAGACCCGAAACCGGGCGACCUACCCAUGAGCAGGAUGAAGCGAUAGUAAAAUUUCGUGGAGGUCCGAACCCACGAGCGUUGAAAAGGUCGGGGAUGACUUGUGGGUAGCGGUGAAAUUCCAAUCGAGCCCGGAGAUAGCUGGUUCUCCCCGAAAUAGCUUUAGGGCUAGCCUCAAGGUGAGAGAUACGGAGGUAGAGCACUGAAUGUCCUAGGGGGUAUUGCACCUACCGAAGACUAUCAAACUCCGAAUGCCGUCAUCUUAUACUUGGGAGUCAGACUGUGGGUGAUAAGAUUCAUAGUCGAAAGGGCAACAGCCCAGAUCGUCAGCUAAGGUCCCUAAAUGUAAGUUAAGUGGUAAAGGAUGUGGGAUUGCACAGACAACCAGGAUGUUGGCUUAGAAGCAGCCACUCAUUCAAAGAGUGCGUAAUAGCUCACUGGUCGAGUGAUCCUGCGCCGAAGAUUUCCGGGGCUAAAACUUACUACCGAAGCUACGGCAUCAGUAAUGAUGGGUAGGGGAGCUUCCCAUACGGGUUGAAGCAUGACCGUAAGGACAUGUGGACAGUAUGGGAGUGAGAAUGUUGGCAUGAGUAGCGAGAUGUGGGUGAGAAUCCCACAGGCCGUAAACCCAAGGU